CCUACGGGAGGCAGCAGUGAGGAAUAUUGGUCAAUGGCCGCAAGGCUGAACCAGCCAUGCCGCGUGAAGGUCAGUGCCCUAUGGGCGUUAAACUUCUUUUGUGCAGGAGCAAUACUGGUCACGUGUGGCCAGACGAGAGUACCGUACGAAUAAGCAUCGGCUAACUCCGUGCCAGCAGCCGCGGUAAUUCGGGGGAUGCAAGCGUUUUCCGGAUUUAAUGGGGUUAAAGGGUGCGUAGGCUGUGAGGUAAGUCAGCGGUGAAAUGCCCCCGCUCAACGGGGUGAAGUGCCAUUGAUACUGCCUUGCUAGAGAGCAGAUGCGGUAGGAGGAAUGUGUGGUGUAGCGGUGAAAUGCAUAGAUAUCACACAGAACACCGAUUGCGAAGGCAUCUCACGAAGCCGCGAUUGACGCUGAUGCACGAAAGCGUGGGUAUCAAACAGGAUUAGAUACCCGAGUAGUC
rnacentral:rRNA from 1 species